rnacentral:rRNA from 1 species
CACACGACUCUCGGCAACGGAUAUCUCGGCUCUCGCAUCGAUGAAGAACGUAGCGAAAUGCGAUAACUGGUGUGAAUUGCAGAAUCCCGCGAACCAUCGAGUCUUUGAACGCAAGUUGCGCCCGAGGCCACUUGGCCGAGGGCACGCCUGCCUGGGCGUCACGC